rnacentral:lncRNA from 10 species
GCCCCUCCCCCAGCCUCAUUACUGCCUUGCAGUUUGAUCUCAGACUGCUGUGCUAGCAAUCAGCGAGACUCCCUGGGCGUAGGACCCUCCGAGCCAGGUGUGGGAAAUAAUCUCCUGGUGCACCGUUUCCUAAGCCCGUCGGAAAAGCGCAGUAUUUGGGUGGGAGUGGCCCGAUUUUCCAGGUGCCCUCCUUUCCUUGACCAGGAAAGGGAACUCCCUGACCCCUUACGCUUCCCAAGUGAGGCAAUGCCUCGCCCUGCUUCGGCUGGCGCACGGUGCCCUGCACCCACUGUCUGGCACUCCCUAGUGAGAUGAACCCGGUACCUCAGAUGGAAAUGCAGAAAUCACCCAUCUUCUGCGUGGCUCAUGCUGGGAGCUGUAGACCAGAGCUGUUCCUAUUCAGCCAUCUUGGCUCCCGGAUCCAGUUUAACUUUUGCAGAGAGACAAGAUCUCUCUCCAUUGCCAACACUGGUCUCAAACUCCUGGCCUCAAGCAAUCAUCCAACCUCAGCCUUCUGAGUACCGGGAUUACAAGUGCGAGCCACUGUGCCCAGCUCCUGUUUCUACUUUCUUAAGUGAACCUGAGGAAUACCACAAAUGUGAGCAUGGCUGGAUCUUUUGAAUUAAAAUCCACACUGGGAAAGAAAUAGACCUUGAACAUCUUGCCAAAGAUUCCUCUUAGGACUCUAGAUGCACGGAGAGUGGCCAGAUUAAUACAGACUGGCAAAAGAAGAACUUGGCAAAGUGAUUUGAUCACACACUUCUCACCCUCACAUCUCCUGACAGUUCCCCUAAUCCCUGCCCCACUUCCCCGCCAUGGGCUUCCAUCAGGAAACUCCUUGAUAUCAUCUUCGAGAAGAAAACUGAGGCAUAGAACAUUUGGGAAUGAAUCUAAGACUACACAUCUAGAAUAGCAGAGUUACAGGAAUGCAGAUGUGAUUCCUAUGGAUGAGGGUAACCUAGAGGCUAGAAGAACAAUAGGACAGAAGAAGCCUGGGUCCCUGAACAACCUUGUGGAGCAUAGACACCUACGUGGCCUGGACUGCCAGCUCACAAUGGGCCUCUCUGUGAGAGAAGGAAACUUCCCUCUUGUUUAAGCAACUGUGCUUUUGAGAAUCUCUUGGUCUAUACCCUAAUGAAUAAGGCCAUCAUAAAUGGAUAUCAAAGUAAGGAAAUUUGUGUAAAUGAUUUAAUAAAACAUUACCUCAGGUAUGAAAUAAUUCUACCUUGUGCCUUGACAACAUCAGGUAUUAUUCAUGCCCUUUUCUCUCCCUGUAAUGUCUCUUAUCCACGGGUAGAAAUUAUAUUUUCCAUCUAAGGUUUGCUCAAAUAUUAUCUACUUAAGUAGCUCUUACCAAUUUUGCCUCUCCUCCUGAGCUGACCCUAUGCCUUCUAUGCUGUUCCAGGUAAUAUUAAUCUCUUCCUUUGUACUUCUUUCACAGAACAUACUUUUUUGUCUAACAUAAUAACUAUAGGCAUAAGUGUAUAGAUUCCACUAGGGGCUUCAGAACAGAAACUAUCAUCUUAUUAAUUUUUUUCUCCCUGAUAUCUAGGGAAAUAUGUUAUAUAUAAUAGGCCCUUAGUAAUCCCAUAAAUGUUUGUGAGAUAUUCACUGACUAUAAGCCAUACUCUGUAUUUAUUUAGCUAAAACAGACGUCUUUCAUAUUUAGUUAGCAGAAAAUGCUCACAUUUACUCCUUUCCUGUUUACCAAAUGAAAGGGUAAUUGUUUUUUCACAGAUUGCACUAGAAAAGUGUCUUCUCUCUCUUUUUCAAAUAGAUUGUCUUUAAAACAUAUGACAGGAAAAGUGACUAUUGUUAGGAUAAGAUAAUUACGAUUGUAACAGCUAGUUUAAAAGAAGUGUCAGUUGCUCCUGUUUUAUUUUUCACAGGAUAGAGCUGCGGCCUGUCUCAGUAUGAUGUUUUCAGGAUCUGGUAUAUAUUUUUAUUUUCCUACAUGAAUCUUUCAUCCUUUUACUGACAUUUAUUCAUUUUAUCUAAUUAUCCUAAAAGGAAAGCUCUGGCCAGGCAAAUUGGUUGUUGUCUGCCUCUGAAGAGACAUUCAUAUCGCGUCGCUUAGCUUUCAAGUUUUGUGAUCAGGAACCCUCAGGCCCAUUUUUAAGGAGGUUUCAGGCUAGCUGAGCUUCACUGUCUCCCAAAAUGUACAAAAUGAGAUUACAUGAGGGACAAGAUCAAUUUACUGGAAGGUACUUAAGCAGUAAAUCUGGAGCUUUUUGUCCAGUCACUAUUGCUUUCAAGCUUUGUAGCAGAAAAUUAAGCCACAAGAGCUUUGACAAAUUAGAUAUUACUACCUCUAAUUGUGUAUGUUUAAGCUUAUCACACUGAAUUGCAGCAUUGUAACUGACUAUUAUGCCAACAAGGCCUUCGUUUAAUCAGCGCAGUGCCAUUUAAUCGCAAUUAAUCACUCAACUAAAAUGUCAUAUUAAGGUCACAGAAACUUGAAGGGCUAAAAGAAAAGAGAACAUUAAAGUCAGCUGAUGGAGGAAAAGAGCAUGGUGUGCCAAGGGAAGUUCUGAGCACUCUUUUUCAUUAGAAGCUGGUAGAACAUUUAAUGAGAAUUCAGUCUUAACUUUCAGCUGAGAUCAGAACAACGUGCC